rnacentral:rRNA from 1 species
ACGCACGCUGGCGGCGUGCUUAACACAUGCAAGUCGCACGGAAAGGCCCUGCUUUUGUGGGGUGCUCGAGUGGCGAACGGGUGAGUAACACGUGAGUAACCUGCCCUUGACUUUGGGAUAACUUCAGGAAACUGGGGCUAAUACCGGAUAGGAGCUCCUGCUGCAUGGUGGGGGUUGGAAAGUUUCGGCGGUUGGGGAUUGACUCGCGGCUUAUCAGCUUGUUGGUGGGGUAGUGGCUUACCAAGGCUUUGACGGGUAGCCGGCCUGAGAGGGUGACCGGCCACAUUGGGACUGAGAUACGGCCCAGACUCCUACGGGAGGCAGCAGUGGGGAAUAUUGCACAAUGGGCGGAAGCCUGAUGCAGCAACGCCGCGUGCGGGAUGACGGCCUUCGGGUUGUAAACCGCUUUCGCCUGUGACGAAGCGUGAGUGACGGUAAUGGGUAAAGAAGCACCGGCUAACUACGUG